ACGCUCGACACCUACGGGAGCAGCAGUGGGGAAUAUUGCACAAUGGGGGAAACCCUGAUGCAGCGACGCCGCGUGGAGGAAGAAGGUCUUCGGAUUGUAAACUCCUGUUGUUGGGGAAAAAGAGGAUGGUACCCAACAAGGAAGUGACGGCUAACUACGUGCCAGCAGCCGCGGUAAUCUGAGCGGGCUGGCAAGGC
rnacentral:rRNA from 1 species